CUGCAUUCCUACCGUCCAGAAAACAAGUUGCAGGGAUGUUUGCCGAGGAAAAGGAACCAGUUGCGGAAGUAGAGGAGGAGGAGGAGGAAGAGGAAGAUGAUGUAGAUGAAGUGGAAGAUGAGGAAGAGGAUGGAGAGGAUGAGGAUAUGGAAGAAGAGGAUGAAGAUGAGGAAGAAGAUGAUGAGGAUGAGGAAGAGGAGGAAGAAGAUGAAGAAGAGGAGGAAGAGGAUGAGGAAGCAGCAGCUGAGGCCGAGGUAGAUGAGGAAGAGGAGGAAGAAGAUGACGAUGAGAAUAAUGAGAUCAUAACCGAAGCCUUUGAUAGCUCAGCACCUGAAGAAGAUGAUCUAUCCAAGGAUGAUGACGAUGACGAUGAUGACAUUGAUGACCUUCUUUUGACAGAACUAAAGGUCAAGCAAGCUACUCCUCCUCCAGAACAAGUAGUGUGCCCUUGUAUGCAUUCGUCCAAGCCCAAAGAGGCCACAAGUGAGCCAACGGAGGGGAAAGAGGCAGAGCCCCCUAAAAAGGAACCAGUAGUGAGAGCUAAGAGAGAGCGUGACAUGUGCAGGCCAGUUGACAAGCCAAAAAGGAGAGAGGCUGCAAGGAAAUUGGAAUUAGAAGCGGCGAUCAGGAAGAGAGAACUAAGACUUAAAAAGGAAGCGAAGGCCACAAAGGAAGAGUCUCAACAUGUAGAUGCUGGGGUGCCUGCACCUGCACCUGCACCUGCGCCAGUUCCCGCCUGUCAACCCACACCAGUCUACUGGCCAUCAUCAUCUCCUGGCUGGUAUUUGCAUCAUAUAUUCACAGACAAUCCAUUUCCACCUACAACUAUGACAGCUCAUCCAGCUCAGCCAUUUUACCAAGCUCCUCCAGCUUAUCAAGCUCCUCCAGGUUAUCAAGUUUAUCAAGCUCCUCCAGCUUAUCAAGCUCCUCCAGCUCAACCAGCACCAGCUCAACCAGCACCAGCUCAACCAGCUCAACCAACAACUCCAGUUCUACCGGCUGAACCAGCACCUGCACCAGCACCUGGACCUGCACCAGCUCCUGCACCAGCUCCAUUGACUCAAGAACCACAGGCUCCCAAAGAAAAGGCUGCCUCCACAAAGAAGGUUCCAAAGGAAAAGACCAAGGCAGCUGCCUCAAAGACGGAGUCUCCUAAAGGAAAAGUUAAGACGCAAGAACUUGCGGUGUCCAAAGGGAAGUUCAAACCAGCUGUUGUGAAGAAAGGAGCUGUUGUCGCUGAAGAAAAGACAAAACCUUCCACGACAAAGAAAGAGGUUGUUGUUUCCAAAGAUAAAGCUAAAACAACAACUGCCAAGAAAGAUCCUGUGGAAAAGGACAAGGACAAAAUAACUCCUACAAAGAAAGAGCCUGCAAUCUCCAAAGAAAAAGUCAAGGCAACCACUAGCCAGACAACCACACCCUCUACCAAGAAAGUUGUUUUCGAACCCGAGGCCCCUAAAGAGAAAGCCACUCCAAGAGUCCCCACUAUGAGAAAAGGUAACCACACAAAUGUAGUGGUGCCAAUGGCAAAAGCCACCGGAAGAGUUGUCGCUAUAAGACCCACGUCUACGAGAAAAGGCCCUGCAAUGAAGGAGAAGCUAACUCACGCACCUGAAGCAGGCACAGUAAAGUGCAUCAGUCCCAUCUAUUAG
rnacentral:lncRNA from 13 species